rnacentral:rRNA from 1 species
CCUACGGGAGGCAGCAGUGAGGAAUAUUGGUCAAUGGACGAGAGUCUGAACCAGCCAAGUAGCGUGAAGGAUGAAGGCCCUGUGGGUUGUAAACUUCUUUUAUAAGGGAAUAAAACGAGGCACGUGUGCCUUUUUGCAUGUACCUUAUGAAUAAGGAUCGGCUAACUCCGUGCCAGCAGCCGCGGUAAUACGGAGGAUCCGAGCGUUAUCCGGAUUUAUUGGGUUUAAAGGGAGCGUAGGUGGGUUGUUAAGUCAGUUGUGAAAGGUUGGGGCUCAACCGUAAAAUUGCAAUUGAUACUGGCAGUCUUGAGUACAGGUGAGGUAGGCGGAAUUCGUGGUGUAGCGGUGAAAUGCUUAGAUAUCGCGAAGAACCCCGAUUGCGAAGGCAGCUUACUAGACUGUGACUGACAUUGAUGCUCGAAAGUGUGGGUAUCGAACAGGAUUAGAUACCCUAGUAGUC